rnacentral:lncRNA from 1 species
GUGACAGACCAAUCCAACACUGUGAAAACCAUUCAUGGACUAACCCAAGACUCGGUCACUGCAACCAUCGAGGAACAUCUUCAAACAUUCCAUAUGUCAGAAACAGGGUCACUGGAAAAGGUUUAGUAUGGGAAUGGGAAUAUUCUGUCUUAUCUCACCAUGUGAAAAUGCUUUACUAUAUAUAUAUAUAUAUAUAUAUAUAUAUAUAUAUAUAUAUAUAUAUAUACACAAUGUAGUUUAUUGAAGAUGAGAGUAACUACACGUACGUGUACAAAGGAAUUUCCAUAUAUAUAUAUAUAUACGGUAGCGAUAUUCUACACCCUAGGUGUAGAAUAUUAUUCUACACCCUAGGUGUAGAAUAUUAUUCUACACCGGAAGUUAAAAUUGAGUAGAAAAAAUACUGAGGAGUACUGGAGAGUGUUUAGUAUCAACUUGUCCAACGAAUACUGAGCGAUACUGAAUAAGAAUAGGAUCUUUUGCCCAGGUCUUUUGCCACGUCAACACAUGUUUUUCCCUUUUUUAUAUUUUAUUUUUUAUUAUAUCAGAUCAUAAUUUUUUAUAUAUAAAUAAUGAUAUGUCACAUGUUUGAUAAUUUUGGUCAUGUAUCAUAUAUAUGUAAUUUUUUUUUAUCAAGUGUAUCUCAUGAUUUGUUGCAGAUGGAUAGAUAUUGGAUUAAGAAUAGGAUGUUCAACAGGGAACAUAUUGAGGGGGUUGAAGAAUUCACGAUCUUUGUUUCCCAGAGAUUAAGUGAUAAUGACGAGCGCUAGUGGUUGGACGCAAAGUUUUUUAUCUAAUGUAUAUAAAAAAGUCAAAAUUAAAGAAAUAUAUAAAAAAAGUCAAAAUUGGCCCAAACUUUAAAAUUGAGUUUCAAAUAAUGUAUUUUAUUACCAAAAAACUAGGCUAAGAAAACAAAAAAAUAAAUAUUAUUAAUUUGGCGAAGGCCUAACCUAACCCUUGGUAAAGGGGCUCUUUGCCGAGGGUCUGGUCUUCGGCCCUCGUCAAAGGGCCUAACCCUAAAUCGCCAUCGGGCCAGCCAAAAAAAGCCACGCGCAGCCUAUUCCUUCUCCCCACCCCUCCGCACGCCUAGCAGCCGCUCCCCUGCCGCCACCCGCACGCGCCCAGCUCUCCUGCCGCCGCUCGGCGCGUCUGCAAGCCGUCGCCGCCGCGCGCCUCGCCCCAUCCGCUAGCACUCCGACACCACCCGUAUCACCUGCAGCUCCGCAUCGGCGACGGAUUCGUUAGGGUCUGGGCCUCCCUCCUCUAGAUCUGGCCGGAGCCACUGGCUUCCUUGCCUGGGUUCAUAUCCAUG